GAUUCUGCCGAGGGCGUAGCUCUGGUGCACUGGGCCGAUUUUCCAGCCAUGUGGAAUCUACAUUUCCAGCUGAACUGGGACUGGGACUUCAAUAUCAGACUCCCUAGCAGCAUGCAUGCUGGUUGCUGAAGCCAUGGAGGUGUUUCCAAGGACAAUAACCUUUGCUGGUCAAAACAUGGUCUAGACUAUGGAAUUCCAUACUUGCUCUCAGGCAAGGAUUUACUGAGAAAGGAAUACCGUCUUCAUGUUUGUGAAAGUGGUGCUUGUUCUGUAUCUUCUAAAAAAGGAAGGCAGUGGGAAAUGAUGGGUGAAACCUGGUUCAUUUGUUCAACAACGAUUCCGAUAUAAUAUAUAUAAGGUUGGAGAUGGGGAUGAUGACAGACCAGCCAGCCGAACUUAAAUUGGAGUAGACAUCAUGUGCCACCUGGUUGCUGAAGCUCGAGAGGACCUUUAUGGACAAAAAAUCCUGUUCAAGAUAGUUCUGUCUGGAAUUCCAUACCACCUCCAGAGAAUGGAAAAUGUCUUCAA